rnacentral:rRNA from 1 species
UACGGGGGGAGCAAGCGUUGUUCGGAUUUACUGGGCGUAAAGGGCGCGUAGGCGGCGUAACAAGUCACUUGUGAAAUCUCCGGGCUUAACCCGGAGCGGCCAAGUGAUACUGUUGUGCUAGAGUGCGGAAGGGGCUACUGGAAUUCUCGGUGUAGCGGUGAAAUGCGUAGAUAUCGAGAGGAACACCUGGCGGCGAAGGCGGGUAGCUGGGCCGACACUGACGCUGAGGCGCGAAAGCCAGGGGAGCGAACGGG